rnacentral:rRNA from 1 species
GACGAACGCUGGCGGCGUGCUUAACACAUGCAAGUCGAACGGAAAGGCCCUGCUUUUGUGGGGUGCUCGAGUGGCGAACGGGUGAGUAACACGUGAGUAACCUGCCCUUGACUUUGGGAUAACUUCAGGAAACUGGGGCUAAUACCGGAUAGGAGCUCCUGCUGCAUGGUGGGGGUUGGAAAGUUUCGGCGGUUGGGGAUGGACUCGCGGCUUAUCAGCUUGUUGGUGGGGUAGUGGCUUACCAAGGCUUUGACGGGUAGCCGGCCUGAGAGGGUGACCGGCCACAUGGGGACUGAGAUACGGCCCAGACUCCUACGGGAGGCAGCAGUGGGGAAUAUGGCACAAUGGGCGGAAGCCUGAUGCAGCAACGCCGCGUGGGGGAUGAAGGCAGUCGGGUUGGAAAACGCUUUCGCCUGUGACGAAGCGUGAGUGACGGUAAGGGGUAAAGAAGCACCGGAUAACUACGUG